AUUAUAUAAGACAAUUUUGUAACGCAAUGAGAAGUGGCGAAGAAUUAAUUGUCAGAGAUUAUCUUUCGAAAACUCACGUGAGAGCAGGCUGUACGAAAAAGAGGCGUAGCCCUGCACUGGCAAAAUAAUUUUAAAAAGCUGAUAUUUAAAUUUAACAAUCGUAUAAUGACAAGAUAAUGAGAAAUGCGUUUAAUUAAAUCCAUAUACGUAUAAAUAUACAUAAAAACGAUGGAAAACUUACAACAACGUUCAGCGUUUCAUAAAGCGAAUACACCCGAUACGACUGGUAGAGGCUGGUGGCUGCUAUCACAAGACGGGUCAGCUGACUGCCCGAUGUGCUGAUUUUCAACUGAACAUAAAGCCAAUCAAUUCUUCGGGCGCUUUACAAUAAACGACCCUACGACAAUUGCUAUUGGUUUAUGUUAAAACU